rfam:Dipodomys ordii contig_17731, whole genome shotgun sequence.
GGGAGUGUGGCUUAGUGGUAGAGUGCUUGCCUAGCAUGCAUGAGGCCCUAGGUUAGAUUCCUUAGUACCA